rnacentral:rRNA from 1 species
UACGUAGGGGGCAAGCGUUGUCCGGAUUUAUUGGGCGUAAAGAGCGUGUAGGCGGUUAGGUAGGUCCGUUGUGAAAAACUCGAGGCUCAACCUCGAGACGCCGAUGGAAACCAUCUAACUAGAGUCCGGAAGAGGAGAGUGGAAUUCCUGGUGUAGCGGUGAAAUGCGCAGAUAUCAGGAAGAACACCCCGUGGCUAAGGCGGCUCUCUAGUACGGUACUGACGCUGAGACGCGAAAAGCGUGGGGAGCGAACAGG